rnacentral:lncRNA from 1 species
GGAGGAGUUGAGGCGCCUUGAAUUUUCCUUCGCGAGUUUGGAGGCUAGCCGAUUUUUCAUGAAGCAAGCAAAGACCGCGGUCCCGGAUCCUGCAACAUCUACCUCAUUCUCUCCAGGCCUCUCCACUUGCCCGAGCUCUCAGCCACCAGGAGACAGACAGAAGGGGCUUCUGGGCUGCGUUGGGAGCGGGCACUGUCCCCUACCCACUCCUGCUCGGUUUCCCAAAGUCCAGCGACCUCCGACCCUCCUUGGGGGGAAAAAUACCAGUACCCAGACACCUCCGCACCCUGUUAUAUGACUGGGCUUGCUUCAGGAAUAUCUUACAAAGAAGAAGAAGAAGAAGAAAGAACGGCUUGGAGUCAUGUUUACAUCUAGUUCUACUGAUCCGUUCACAUCUGGAGAGUUUAUUUAUAACUCCCUCUAUAACUCUCUGUUUGGAGGC